rnacentral:lncRNA from 1 species
UUUUUUUUAAAUCUAUUUACUAACAUUUACUGUUCUCUGUGUAGAUCAAGCUUUUCAUGUGAAAUAUUUUAUGUUAGUCUUGCUAUACUUUAUGAGGAAGGACUCUGGAUUAUUUUGGUUCUUGUGAUUUUCACAUAUUGGUAGCAGGAAUAAACUGAUGUUUACUAUGUACCUCUUCCUCUUUCAGAAGUUUGUAUUCUGCCUUAGGAAGGAGCCUUUAUAUAAUGAAUUGCAGAAAACUACAUUUCUUCAGCACAGUGUUUUCAGCAGAAUCCUGGAAAACCCAAAACAAAUGAAAUUUGUAAAAGGAAUAUCAGCAAGUAACAAUAGAACAAAGUUAGCAGAACAAAACUCAGGUGCCAUUUUGCUAUUGCAAAUGACUCAUUGUGACACGUUUGUCUGUGGUAUCAGUUUCAGUCUUAUCAGUGACUCAAACCAAAUGUGAUGGGUGCACAUUUCCAUAUUAUGAUUUUGUCAUGCUUCAGGGAGACACCUUAGAAUAAUUAUUGCAAUGAAUGUUUCUGAUAGAACAAAUUUGCAAAGCAGCAAGUAAAGAGCACUUUCCAGUUUAUAAUAUACCUUUUUCUUAAACCAUUCUUUGUAGUGCCUCACUAUAGGCAAGCUAAAAAAU